rnacentral:rRNA from 1 species
ACACGACUACAUUAGAUACCCGGGUAGUCCCAGCCCUAAACGAUACUCGCUAGGUGUCGGCCACGGUGCGACCGUUGUCGGUGCUGUAGGGAAGCCGUGAAGCGAGCCACCUGGGAAGUACGGCCGCAAGGCUGAAACUUAAAGGAAUUGGCGGGGGAGCACCACAACGGGUGGAGCUUGCGGUUUAAUUGGAUUCAACGCCGGAAAUCUUACCGGGACCGACAGCAACAUGAAGGCCAGGCUGAAGACUUUGCCGGAUUAGCUG